UACGAAGGGGGCUAGCGUUGUUCGGAAUUACUGGGCGUAAAGCGUGCGCAGGCGGCUUCUCAAGUCAGGGGUGAAAGCCCAGAGCUCAACUCUGGAAUUGCCUUUGAGACUGAGAGGCUUGAGUACGGGAGAGGUGAGUGGAAUUCCCAGUGUAGAGGUGAAAUUCGUAGAUAUUGGGAGGAACACCGGUGGCGAAGGCGGGUCUCUGGGCCGUAACUGACGCUGAGGAGCGAAAGCAUGGGGAGCGAACAGG
rnacentral:rRNA from 1 species